rnacentral:rRNA from 1 species
GACGAACGCUGGCGGCGUGCCUAAUACAUGCAAGUAGAACGCUGAAGGAGGAGCUUGCUUCUCUGGAUGAGUUGCGAACGGGUGAGUAACGCGUAGGUAACCUGCCUGGUAGCGGGGGAUAACUAUUGGAAACGAUAGCUAAUAUCGCAUAAGAGUAGAUGUUGCAUGACAUUUGCUUAAAAGGUGCAAUUUCAUCACUACCAGAUGGACCUGCGUUGUAUUAGCUAGUUGGUGGGGUAACGGCUUACCAAGGCGACGAUACAUAGCCGACCUGAGAGGGUGAUCGGCCACACUGGGACUGAGACACGGCCCAGACUCCUACGGGAGGCAGCAGUAGGGAAUCUUCGGCAAUGGACGGAAGUCUGACCGAGCAACGCCGCGUGAGUGAAGAAGGUUUUCGGAUCGUAAAGCUCUGUUGUAAGAGAAGAACGAGUGUGAGAGUGGAAAGUUCACACUGUGACGGUAUCUAACCAGAAAGGGACGGCUAACUACGUG